GACGAACGCUGGCGGCGUGCCUAACACAUGCAAGUCGAGCGAGUGAAUCUCCUUCGGGAGUGAAGCUAGCGGCGGACGGGUGAGUAACACGUGGGCAACCUGCCUCAUAGAGGGGAAUAGCCUUUCGAAAGGAAGAUUAAUACCGCAUAAGAUUGUAGCUUCGCAUGAAGUAGCAAUUAAAGGAGCAAUCCGCUAUGAGAUGGGCCCGCGGCGCAUUAGCUAGUUGGUGAGGUAACGGCUCACCAAGGCGACGAUGCGUAGCCGACCUGAGAGGGUGAUCGGCCACAUUGGGACUGAGACACGGCCCAGACUCCUACGGGAGGCAGCAGUGGGGAAUAUUGCACAAUGGGGGAAACCCUGAUGCAGCAACGCCGCGUGAGUGAUGACGGCCUUCGGGUUGUAAAGUUCUGUCUUCAGGGACGAUAAUGACGGUACCUGAGGAGGAAGCCACGGCUAACUACGUGCCAGCAGCCGCCGCUGUAA
rnacentral:rRNA from 1 species